UCUUCCUUAGCUCAGUUGGUUAGAGCACCUGACUGUUAAUCAGGGGGUCGUUGGUUCAAGUCCAACAGGGAGAG
rnacentral:tRNA from 1 species